rnacentral:rRNA from 1 species
GCAAGUCGAACGCGAAAGUACUCUUCGGAGUGCGAGUAGAGUGGCGCACGGGUGAGUAACGCGUAGAUAAUCUACCUCUAUAUUUGGGAUAACAUCGGGAAACUGGUGCUAAUACCGGAUACACUCUUAAAUAUGCGAGUAUUAAAGAGGAAAGGUGACCUCUCCUUGGAAGUUGCUGUAUAGAGAUGAGUCUGCGUACCAUUAGCUAGUUGGUGGGGUAAUGGCCUACCAAGGCGACGAUGGUUAGCGGGGUCGAGAGGCUGAAC